rnacentral:misc_RNA from 1 species
GCAAACUUGGUCAUUUAGAGGAAGUAAAAGUCGUAACAAGGUUUCCGUAGGUGAACCUGCGGAAGGAUCAUUAUCGAAUUUGUUCAAACUUGGUUGUCGCUGGCUCUCUCUCUGAGACUGCAUGUGCACGCCAAGUUCAAACUUUUCAUUCUAACCUCCUGUGCACUUUUGUGGAUCGUGGACAGAUAAACUUUGUCAAAGUAACUUUUGGUUUUGGAGAUUGCACUCUUUGCUUUCCCCUACCAUUUGUUCACGGUUCAUGUCUUUUUACUACAAACCAUUCAAUCUAAACUCAGAAUGCUUCACAAGUUGGGACAUUUGGUAUCCCUUCUUAAAUCUUAUACAACUUUCAACAACGGAUCUCUUGGCUCUCGCAUCGAUGAAGAACGCAGC